rnacentral:rRNA from 1 species
GAUGAACGCUGGCGGCGUGCCUAAUACAUGCAAGUCGAGCGAACAGACGAGGAGCUUGCUCCUCUGACGUUAGCGGCGGACGGGUGAGUAACACGUGGAUAACCUACCUAUAAGACUGGGAUAACUUCGGGAAACCGGAGCUAAUACCGGAUAAUAUAUUGAACCGCAUGGUUCAAUAGUGAAAGACGGCUUUGCUGUCACUUAUAGAUGGAUCCGCGCCGCAUUAGCUAGUUGGUAAGGUAACGGCUUACCAAGGCAACGAUGCGUAGCCGACCUGAGAGGGUGAUCGGCCACACUGGAACUGAGACACGGUCCAGACUCCUACGGGAGGCAGCAGUAGGGAAUCUUCCGCAAUGGGCGAAAGCCUGACGGAGCAACGCCGCGUGAAUGAUGAAGGUCUUCGGAUCGUAAAACUCUGUUAUUAGGGAAGAACAAUUGUGUAAGUAACUAUGCACGUCUUGACGGUACCUAAUCAGAAAGCCACGGCUAACUACGUG